GCUGGCGGUGCGCCUUAUGCAUGCAAGUCGAGCGAAGCUUUUCAGUAGUUUACUACAGAAAAUGACUGAGCGGCGAACGGGUGAGUAACGCGUGAGCAAUCUACCUUAGUUACAGGGAUAGCCCGAGGAAACUCGGAUUAAUACCUGAUAUUCUUUUUAUCUCGCAUGAGAUUUUAAGGAAAGGUCAGCCGAACUAAGAUGAGCUCGCGUUCUAUCAGCUAGUUGGUGAGGUAAUAGCUCACCAAGGCUACGACGGAUAGCUGGUCUGAGAGGACGAUCAGCCACACUGGGACUGAGACACGGCCCAGACUCCUACGGGAGGCUGCAGCAGGGAAUAUUGCGCAAUGAGCGAAAGCUUGACGCAGCGACACCGCGUGUGGGAUGACGGAUCUAGGUUUGUAAACCACUUUCAGGAGGGAAGAAAAUGACGGUACCUCCACAAGAAGCCCCGGCCAACUACGUGCCAGCAGCCGCGGUAAUACGUAGGGGGCGAGCGUUGUCCGGAUUUAUUGGGCGUAAAGAGCUCGUAGGCGGUUCAACAAGUCGGUCGUGAAAGUUCAGGGCUCAACCCUGAAAUGUCGAUCGAUACUGUUGUGACUAGGAUACGGUAGAGGUGAGUGGAAUUCCGAGUGUAGCGGUGAAAUGCGUAGAUAUUCG
rnacentral:rRNA from 1 species